ACACCUAAGCACCCCUCCAUACUUACUCUCAGAGCAAGAAGGUGGUGAGGAUCUUUCCAGAUCUGUACAAUCACUUCUUUUGUCUUUUCCCAGACUGCCUGUGAAAGAAUGUCAUCAUACCACAUGGAAAAGGGAGCCUUGCCAUCGUCACCCCAGACCAGGAACAUUUGCACCUGUAGAAACCCAAGGAAGAAGGUACAGAAGCUCACUGGGAUAUUUAAGUCCGAGUUAAAUGUGGAUGAGAAGAGUGAAGAGAUGCACUGGUAUGAUGAAGAUAAGCACACAUCACUGACCCCGAUACUCUAGAAGCGUAUCCUUCAAAGACACGAAUGGAGGGAAUGGGUGAGUAGAAAGCCCAGUGCUUGGAGGAGUCACUGAAGCACAGGAUAUUUUGUUGGUCAUCUUGGGGGAUGGGGUGGGGAGGGGCGGAGACUAUUGCAGGGGCAUUGUUAGGGAAAGGGAUCCUGAAGAAUUGAAGAACAUGGAGUGAGUUGUGUUCUCUGAGAGAAAGAUGGGGCUGGGGGUGUGGGCGUUGGGGGUAUCGAAGGGGGUGGGGGUGAGCUU
rnacentral:lncRNA from 1 species